CGGCGAACGGGUGAGUAACGCGUGGAUUAUCUGCCCUGAGGUGGGGGAUAACCGGGGGAAACUCUGGCUAAUACCGCAUAUGACCGUGAGGUCAAAGGGGGGUCGCAAGAUCUCUCGCCAUAGGAGGAGUCCGCGUACGAUUAGCUAGUUGGUAGGGUAAUGGCCUACCAAGGCGACGAUCGUUAGCCGGCCUGAGAGGGUGAUCGGCCACACUGGAACUGAGACACGGUCCAG
rnacentral:rRNA from 1 species